rnacentral:tRNA from 1 species
UUUAAUUGAAACCAAAACAGAGGUAUAUUAUUGUUAAUAAUAUCAUUGAAUUUUCAAUUCCAAUUAAAA